CAGCCGCCACGGUAACACCGAGGGUGCAAGCGUUAAUCGGAUUUACUGGGCGUAAAGGGCGCGUAGGUGGUUAUGUAAGUGAGAUGUGAAAUCCCCGGGCUCAACCUGGGAACUGCAUCUUAUACUGCGUAGCUGGAGUGCAGUAGAGGGUAGUGGAAUUUCCGGUGUAGCGGUGAAAUGCGUAGAUAUCGGAAGGAACACCAGUGGCGAAGGCGGCUACCUGGACUGACACUGACACUGAGGCGCGAAAGCGUGGGGAGCAAACAGGAUUAGAUACCCCCGUAGUCCCUGUCUCUUAUAC
rnacentral:rRNA from 1 species